rnacentral:rRNA from 1 species
UAGGGAAUAUUGGACAAUGGGGGCAACCCUGAUCCAGCCAUGCCGCGUGAGUGAAGAAGGCCCUCGGGUUGUAAAGCUCUUUUGUCCGGAAAGAAAAGCAUUCGGUGAAUACCCGGAUGUUCUGACGGUACCGGAAGAAUAAGCACCGGCUAACUUCGUGCCAGCAGCCGCGGUAAUACGAAGGGUGCAAGUGUUACUCGGAAUUACUGGGCGUAAAGCGUGCGUAGGUGGUUGUUUAAGUCUGAUGUGAAAGCCCUGGGCUCAGCCUGGGAAUGGCAUUGGAAACUGGGCAGCUAGAGUGCGGUAGAGGGUAGUGGAAUUCCCGGUGUAGCAGUGAAAUGCGUAGAGAUCGGGAGGAACAUCUGUGGCGAAGGCGACUGCCUGGACCAGCACUGACACUGAGGCACGAAAGCGUGGGGAGCAAACA